ensembl:lncRNA
GAGAGAGAGGCACGGGGAGGAGGAGAGAGAGGAUGAGGAGGAGAGAGAGAGAGGCACGGGGAGGAGAGAGAGGAUGAGGUGGAGAGAGAGAGGCACAGGGGGAGGAGGAGAGAGAGGAUUAGGAGGAGAGAGAGGAUGAGGUGGAGAGAGAGGAUGAGGAGGAUGAGGUGGAGAGAGAGGAUGAGGAGGAGAGAGAGGAUGAGGAGGAGAGAGAGGAUGAGGAGGAGAGAGAGGAUGAGGAAGAGAGAGAGAGAGGAUGAGGUGGAGAGAGAGGAUGAGGAAGAGAGAGAGAGGAUGAGGUGGAGAGAGAGAGAGAGGAUGAGGAGGAGAGAGAGAGAGGAUGAGGUGGAGAGAGAG